CUAGAGCUUGCAAAUUUUGCUUUCUUUUGGCUAUAUAAGUCACUAAGAGGUUUGUCAUGGUGGACGCCUUUGUCUUUCACUUCACCCCAAACUUUUUCCAGCUCCUGAGAACUUGCAGCAGCUUGAACUCUGUACACAAGGCUAGCUGUUGGCCAACCUUUUCUUGUAGCCCAUAAUAGCCCAGUCUUUUUGUGAGUUUAUCUUACAGCCGUCAACAGCGCAGAGGUCACUGACCUGCAUGUGUACACGUGUACGUGUAAGAUGGGAAUCUCGUGCCUAUUAUAAACUGUAUAUGCAUUAGCAUCAAAACAAGACCUGCAUCAGCACGGCCUUUGCAUCCUGCAAAUGUGUAACCUUGAUCCCCUGUGAAGGAGGUUAGCAAAUUUACUAGGAAAAUUAAUGCACAAUACACUUAUGCUAGGCAGAAAAGGCUGCGUGGUCUACGCUUUUGCCAUCAAUAUUGAACUGAUCACAGAACUCUGGUGCGAACUUUGUGAUAUGGGGUUCCCUAACAGCUACAGAAUGCAUCUUUCCUUUUGACAAUCCAAGCUCUAGUUGAGGCCACUCAACAAUAUUUGCUGGCAUACCUGACUUCUGUCCAGCUUGCAAUGGAACCUGGUCCCAGUGUGUUUCUCCACUUCCUCUAAGCUGACUUGGAACUGUGUGAGACUAACAUCCUUUAUCGGCUCGUUGGGGACCACAAAGGCACCUAGCAAUGGUGGAGAGUCAGGUCUGUCUUCAGCAAGUAUGAUCUUAAAGAGAUGUGUUGGCACUGCCACAUUGUUCUCUCCUAUCACCUGAAGGACAAGAAGCACGACAAUUGACACGAGGACAUGUGCGCUAGCUUUAUAUACUGACUUCAUACUUGACAAAGCUUUUCUCUCCCUCUGUGUCCCUCUGUGGCAAGAACAGUGGACCGGAGAUUACACUGACUUGAGUGUACCUCUUAGAGAGUCUUCUGCAGUAAUCUUCAACACUGUUCCAAUAUCUAUGAGGAAAAUCAGACACUAAAAGCUGGAAGAAAAUGGAUAGGCAAUAAUACACGAAAAGUUCUGUGGGACAAUGUUGGUCAGUAGGAAAGUAUCAUCCAUAGAGUUCUGACAGUGCUUGUAGUUACCGGCGGGGGCCAUGUGACCUCGGCUCCAUCCACUCCCACGAUAAUCAGUGUUCGAAGAACAAUACUCUUGUGGUAAUUUCGGAUCAGGUUGGAACUCAGAUCUUGCUCGCUUUGCUAGUCGACUUGUCACCAUGUCUUUAUUAAUACAUUCAGCAACCCAUACAGGUAUCUUCUUUGAUCGAUCGUAUGUCAGAGAGUGGUCAGUGUAGGAGUGGGCAGAGAUGUGCGGCUCAGGGUACCCAUACCUG